UACGUAGGGGCCUAGCGUUGUCCGGAAUUAUUGGGCGUAAAGAGCUCGUAGGCGGUUCGGCAAGUCGGAUGUGAAAUCUCCACGCUUAACGUGGAGGGGCCAUUCGAAACUGCCGUGACUCGAGUCCGGUAGGGGAGUGUGGAAUUCCCGGUGUAGUGGUGAAAUGCGUAGAUAUCGGGAGGAACACCAGUGGCGAAGGCGACUUACUGGACGACUGUUGACGCUGAGGUGCGAAAGCGUGGGGAGCAAACAGG
rnacentral:rRNA from 1 species